rnacentral:ncRNA from 1 species
UGUGGUACGCCGCUCCGUAGCGCCGUGCGAAAGGACACGGAGCGGCUGUGCGAGUGAUCGGUGCCCCUGUCGGGGGUUGCGGAUCACGAGCUGUCUGGCGUCCGGGAGGUGCGAACUCUCGGGCGCCGAUG